GACGUAGGUGGCGAACGUUAUCCGGAAUUAUUGGGCGUAAAGGGUGCGUAGGCGGCAUGAUAAGUUAUUGGCGGCAAAUCGAGGCUCAACCUCGUGGAAACUAAUAAUACUGUCUUGCUUGAGUGCAGAAGAGGUUAACGGAACUCCAUGUGGAGCGGUAAAAUGUGUAGAUAUAUGGAAGAACAUCAAUAACGGCGAAGGCAUUUAACUAUUCUGUUACUGACGUUGAGGCACGAAAGCGUGGGGAGCAAAAAGG
rnacentral:rRNA from 1 species